UACGUAGGGUGCAAGCGUUGUCCGGAAUUAUUGGGCGUAAAGAGCUCGUAGGCGGUCUGUCGCGUCGGCUGUGAAAUCCCGAGGCUCAACCUCGGGUCUGCAGUCGAUACGGGCAAACUGGAGUGUUGCAGGGGAGACUGGAAUUCCUGGUGUAGCGGUGAAAUGCGCAGAUAUCAGGAAGAACACCCGUGGCGAAAGCGGCUCUCUAGAACGGUACUGACGCUGAGACGCGAAAGCGUGGGGAGCGAACAGG
rnacentral:rRNA from 1 species